UUCACGUUACAUUCUUCGGACACAAAUACGUAAUGCAUAAAAUUAUCAGUUUUAAAAUUUGUUUUACUGAACAUAUCAUCACUGAUAAGCUGAGAACCCGUUACAUCACAAAACAGAUUUGAGCUAAGAUAAAUGUCUUCUUUGAUAUUAUGCAAUAAUUCAUCAUAGCCAACUUCAAGGUCGCGUAUACUGCCAUUAAAAUCCUGCACUUCACCAUACAUCGGGUGUCUAAUAUUUUCUUCGAGUUUAUAUGAUUCAAUAUUAUUUACUAAACGCUUUAAAUUUGUCUGUAUUAAUUCGAGAUUAGUUUCAGUAAACAAUUUUAAAUACAUCAUUGUUUCUAGUGCAUUUUCGACAUCAUAUUUGCCGUAAUCGUGCAGAAACGUAAAAAUACAGUAUUGUUGAUUUGAAUGCAAUUUAAUUAUUCUAAUAAUUUGUUCAUCCGAGAUACCAUAAGCCUUAUCAUUUAUCAGCAGGAUCGCGAAUGUAUAAUAGUAAUACAUUUGCUUCAGUAUAUAACCAAAGGUUCUGUCCAUAAACCGUGAUCUCACACUGUCAAGGUUUUGUUUGACUAAACUUAAUUUGCAAGGUUUUGUUUGACUAAACUUAAUUUGUCACUUUUCGUUCCCGUGAUACCUACAUUAUAUGUAGAGCCUUUUUUGUUUAAUCCUUCAUUGAUUACAUUAAAUAUUUUCUCAUUCUGAGAAAUUUCCAUGAUGUAUUGUAUUUGAUUCCAAGUUAUUUUUUGUUUGUGUCUUAAUUCAUCAAAUUUAAAANCGUUUAUUUUGAAAUACCUUCGACUGGAUACUCUGUAGAAGCCUCCUAAAUGUUACAC